rnacentral:lncRNA from 1 species
CAAUAUAUUGUGGCGUUUAACAUGCUUGUAAACAGCCGGGACAGUUUUGUUACAGCACAGCAUAAGAACAAACUAUACAAAUCAGUGGAAAAGGGCUUAACGUAUGAGAUCGAUACAAAACAGAAGGAAAAAAAAAGGUCUAACAAAAACACAUACCGAAUGUGGCAGGGUAUUUUUACCUCGUUUUCAAACAAUCAAAGUACUGAAGUACUGAACAUCGAAUGACUGCAAGUUCUUUUGGAUUGUCACAAGC